rnacentral:rRNA from 1 species
CUGGCGGCAGCUUACCAUGCAAGUCGAGCGGGCACUUCGGUGUCAGCGGCGGACGGGUUAGUAACGCGUGGGAACGUGCCCUUCACUGCGGAAUAGCAUUGGGAAACUGGUGGUAAUACCGCAUACGCCCUUAGGGGGAAAGAUUUAUCGGUGAGGGAUCGGCCCGCGUCUGAUUAGGUAGUUGGUGGGGUAAUGGCCUACCAAGCCUACGAUCGGUAGCUGGUUUGAGAGGAUGAUCAGCAACACUGGGACUGAGACACGGCCCAGACUCCUACGGGAGGCAGCAGUGGGGAAUCUUAGACAAUGGGCGCAAGCCUGAUCUAGCCAUGCCGCGUGAGUGAAGAAGGCCUUAGGGUCGUAAAGCUCUUUCGCCGGGGAAGAUAAUGACUGUACCCGGUAAAGAAACCCCGGCUAACUCCGUGCCAGCAGCCGCGGUAAU